UAAGGAAUAUUGGACAAUGGUCGGAAGACUGAUCCAGCCAUGCCGCGUGAAGGACGAAGGCGCUCAGCGUUGUAAACUUCUUUUGGAUGGGGAUAAUAACCUCGAUUAAUCGGGGCUUGAAGGUACCAUCAGAAUAAGCACCGGCUAACUCCGUGCCAGCAGCCGCGGUAAUACGGAGGGUGCGAGCGUUAUCCGGAAUCACUGGGUUUAAAGGGUGCGUAGGCGGCGAGGUAAGUCAGUUGUGAAAUUCCCCGGCUUAACCGGGUGGACUGCGAUUGAUACUGCUUUGCUUGAAACAGGUUGAGGUAAGCGGAAUGUGACAUGUAGCGGUGAAAUGCAUAGAUAUGUCAUAGAACACCGAUUGCGAAGGCAGCUUGCUGGGCCUGAUUUGACGCUGAGGCACGAAAGCGUGGGGAGCAAACAGG
rnacentral:rRNA from 1 species